rnacentral:misc_RNA from 1 species
UCGAAACCUGCCCAGCAGAACGACCUGUGGACGAGUAAACAUCACACGCGGCGAGGGGUGCUUCGGCCCCCUCCUCGUGCCGGGGGAGCCCCCCUCGUGGGGGUGCCCCCGGGGCAACAACGAACCCCGGCGCGGACUGCGCCAAGGAACACAAACUCAUGGCGUGCCCGCCCGCGAACGGUUCGCACGGCGCGCGGGGGCGGCACCUGUCCCUACUUAAAACGUAACGACUCUCGGCAACGGAUAUCUCGGCUCUCGCAUCGAUGAAGAACGUAGCGAAAUGCGAUACUUGGUGUGAAUUGCAGAAUCCCGUGAACCAUCGAGUCUUUGAACGCAAGUUGCGCCCGAAGCCUUCUGGCUGAGGGCACGUCUGCCUGGGCGUCACGCUUCGCGUCUCCCCCCGCCCUCGUGGAGGGGGAUGGAUGAUGGCCUCCCGUGCCCCGGUCGGGGCGCGGCUGGCCUAAAAUCGGAGCCGAGGACGACGAGCUGUUGUGGCGAUUGGUGGUUGACGAGGCUUAACGGCCUGUUUACAUCGCGCCGCUGGAGCACGCUGUUGGGAUGGGCUUGUUGGACCCAUGGGUGGCUCAAGCCACGCAAAACCGUUGCGACC